UACUCGAGUGGCGAACGGGUGAGUAACACGUGGGUGAUCUGCCCUGCACUUCGGGAUAAGCUUGGGAAACUGGGUCUAAUACCGGAUAGGAGCCAUCUUUAGUGUGGUGGUUGGAAAGUUUUUUCGGUGUAGGAUGAGCUCGCGGCCUAUCAGCUUGUUGGUGGGGUAAUGGCCUACCAAGGCGGCGACGGGUAGCCGGCCUGAGAGGGUGGACGGCCACAUUGGGACUGAGAUACGGCCCAG
rnacentral:rRNA from 1 species